AAAUAAGGAGUUUUAAACGGACUGACUGUUUAUUCUCUACUUUUCUUAUUCUACAUACAGUUCAGUAUACUCUUGAUCCGUGCCUUCCACACUGUCUCCCAAAGGAAAAUGUUCCUGUCAAAGAAAAAUCCUACAGGAUGACCUUUAGCCUCUGCCUGGUUUUUCAAAUGAGAACGUAGAGUGGUUUCCUACACAACAUCAGAGGCCACACACAGCGUGUAGGCAAAACUGCUUGACAGCCAAAGGACUGGCACUAAUUCAGGCUUUGCUUUGUCAUUGGAGGGCCUGGACCGAGCAAAACAAGCUAAAGCCUGCUGAUUCUCACCAAUGGCCACUGAUUGCAGCCAUGAUUCAGAGGGACUAAAGUGGUGUGGCUAGGAUCUUCAUGUGUGGGCAAAGUGACUCUGUGUUGGAUACCUGUGCUGUUGGUUCGUCCACGGUAAAGGUCGUCGUAGGCCUUCCACUGCUGAGUAACCUGGUAGGCGUGGAUGAAUACGACCAGCACUGCAACCAGACAGAUGAGAGGCACAAGUACCGCUGUGCACAGAGCUGCAUAGAUGUUCGGGAUGAAGCAUCUAGAGGAGGGACAGACAGAAAUGAUCUGGCCAGUGAGACCUCUGAGCCUGGCUAAGACUCACAACAUUCUUGCUCAACUGCCUUCAACAGCAAAAUACGGAGAAGAAUAUGGAGGGGUUAUGUGAGUCCAUCUGCUGAUCCUGCUUUACAGCCAAAUGAGAAACUUUAAACAUUUUUUGGAGACAAAUUGAAUUUCAGGCUUAAUACAAAUAAUAAAAGAAAACUUCUUUAUCAAAGUUUUGAAAAAAAGUAAAAUCAAGUUAUGUCUCUUUCUACAAUGUGUCUGUUGGUGUGAGUUAUUUUUCAUUCUCUAUCUCUGAGUUGUUUGCCUGUAAAAUCUCAGGAGUCCUUUCCCAGCUUCUGUCCAAUUGUACAUGUUUUUCUCUACUGAUGUCGAAUGAUUUUUCUCUGGGAAACUUGGAAAUCCACAUAUAAACUGUAACUGCCAAACAACUAUCAAAA